ACUCCACUAAAGCUUAAAUAGACAUUUGAAUAUUAUAGGAAUGCUCCUCCUUAUUAAGAAAAAUCUUAUAGCAGAAAGCUGACUAACAGACACAGGACGGUGUAGAUCUGUCGUCUCUGCCAAGGACGUGUCUUUAGAAGAGGUUCUGGCAGACAAUCCUAACCCUGAUAAGAUUGGAUCUCAUGAGCCAUAUGUAAACUAACUUCCAGGAACAGACUGCUAUUCUGCUUGACAUUGAGGAAGUUAGCCUUUACUUGGAAAGCAAUACAGCAGUUAUGAUGAAGACUGCAAUUACAGGAAACAACAGAAGUUGAUAACAGUGUGCCUGAAGUUUAAAGAUAGCACUGAGAGGAGCGACAGGAUAUUAUGAAUAAAAUCUACCUUUUCACGGAGAACUCUGUGCAGCGCCCUUUCAUCUGGGGUGUGAGACAGAGGAAGAAGGAAUGAAGAGGUGUCCGUCUGAUCUGUUACCAUAAUCAAGAAAGUGUUUAGCAUGUUGUCAGAUUUAUAGGCUGACUUAAUAUCAAAUUCAGAAUGGCAAGUAUUAUUCUUCAACUUGACACUGAUUCUUUGCAUAGUAACCUGAUCACCAAGACUAUUAUAGAAUUAUAGAAUAGUCACAUAAAACCACAAUUUGUAACCCCUUUUAUAAAUUACAGAGCAACUUGGACCUCAUAAAAAUACUGAUGCAAAACUGUAAAACAAAAAUGCUUAGGAUCACAAUCCUAAUAAUCUUUCUGAUGCUCACAACUAAAGUUGGCUGCACCUAGAAUUAUAGAAUCCCUACAGUAUGGAAUUAGUCCAUUCAGCCCAUCAAAUCCAUACAGACCUUCUGAACAGCA